CUGAGGUGGAGAUGUGAACCAGGAAUGGCUAUCAGUAUCCAUUUCGACUCAAGUUCCUCCUCUGUACCUCACCUAAAAAUCCCUCACUGUAUAGUAUUUUUUCUCUUGAUAGUUGAGUAAUCAUUGGCACACAGAAAUUGGCUGAGGUACAGAAGUCAACCAGGAACAGGUGUCAAUCUAUAUUUUGACUCAAGUUUCUCCUCUCUACCUCACCCCAAUAUCCCACACAGUAAUUAUUGGCAUACAGAGAAUGGGGCUGAGGUACAGAAGUCAUCUAGGAACAGGUGUCAAUCUAUAUUUCGACUCUACUUUCUCCUCUCUACCUCACCCCAAUAUCCCGCACAGCAAUUAUUGGCGCACAGAGAAUUGGGCUGAGGUAUAUAAGUCAACUAGGAAUGGCUAUCAAUCUAUAUUUCAAUUCUAGUUUCUCCUCUAUACCUCACCUCAAUCUCCCAGUUUUCAUCGUAAUGUGAGUCUCCAUUGGCACACAGAGAAUUGGGCUGAGGUAUAUAAGUCAACUAGGAACGACUAUCAAUCUAUAUUUCAAUUCUAGUUUCUCCUCUAUACCUCACCCCAGUCUCCCAGUUUUCCUUGUCAUGUGAGUGAGUACCCAAUGGCGUGCGUCGUACAGAUUGGCCCACACGCCCCGCCCAGGACGACAAAAGCCACCACCAGAGUUACCGAGUGCAAGUGUUAGUGUUAAGUAGAGCAGGCAAGGUGAUGUACUGUGUCGCAUUGCCCUGCUGUCUUGAAGGCCGAAUGUGCUCCUGGGAAAGUUGGUCUCCUGUACAACACACUAGAGAGGUUGAUACGAAAUAAUGCGGGAGAAAUAUCAGACUAAAGCGCUCUCCCCUUCCUCACACCAAGGCUUCAUCAUGUGCUGUAGUAGUAGUAAUAGUAGCAAUCAUAGUAGUAAUAGUAGUAGUAGGAGUAGUAGAAAAAGCAAGUAUCCAUAUUGUGAAGUCCACUCUUAAACUGGCUCUCAAAAAAUAGAAAUAAAUAAAUAACUGACAAUAUAAAUAGAUCAACAAAGAACAGAGAGAAAUCAAGGUUCCCAGGAGUACGUUCGGUCCCGUCAUCUCCGGCAACAACUUCAAAUUUGUAGUUCCUCUAUUUUUUUAACGCUGUGAAUCUUGGUAGAGACUUUCUUUUGGUUCUUUUACAUCCCUGGAACAGCCCUGUCGAUGACCCCUGAGUGUGCGUGUCCCCCCGGGCACCACAACAACCACCACCACCUGUCUCUUGACCUAACCUACUCUGGGGGGGGUUGCCGAGCCUUGCGCAGCCGGGGUCCAGUCGGGGAUUAAGUCAGGCCAGAAAUUAUAGUCUUGGGAAAUUGAGACGAGGGAUAGAAAUGCAAAUGAUAGUCAAGGAAAAGAUUGGUUAACUUUCUUGUGUUUUGAUGUAGUUUUUGUCCCUGAGAUCAAUUUUGUCGAGACAGAAACUAUAGUCUUGGAAAAUUGAGACGAGGGAUACAAAUGGAAAUGAUAGUGAAGGAAAAGAUUGGUUAAUUUUCUUGUGUUUUGGCUUAGUUUGUUUUUGUCCCUCAGACCAGUUUUUCAAGAGGAGCUUUUAGUUGAGACAGAAACUAUAAUCUCAGGAAAUUGAGACGAGGGAUACAAAUGGAAGUGAUAGUCAAGGGAAAGAUUGGUUAACUUUCUUUUCUUUUGGCUUAGCUUGUUUUUGUCCCUGAGAUCAAUUUUGUUGAGAAAGAAACUAGUCUUGGAAAAUUGAGACGAGGGACAGAAAUGCAAAUGAUAGUCAAAGAAAAGGUUGAUAGAUUUUCUUCUGUUCUGACUUAAUUUGAUUUUGUCCCUCAGAUCAGAUUUUCAAGAGGAGAUUUUAGUCGAGACAGAAACUAUAGUCUUUGAAAAAUUGUGAUGAGUUGGAAAAAUUCAAACAAUAGUCAAAGGGAAGAUUGGUUAACUUUCUUUCAAUUUGACCGGGUUUAUUUUUGCGCCUCAGACCAGUUUUCAAGAGGAGUUUUUAGUCGAGAAAAAACCCUACCCUGGGAAAGGUCAGCCGUGGUGUGGCAAAUGAACCGUCAAAGUAAAGACUGACAACCAUUCUCUAUUUUGACUCAUUUACAGACUGCAGCUUCCCAGUAUUUCCGAGUGCAUAGUUCACCUCCUUGUUAUCAGAGGCCUGGCGUAGGAGAGUGCAUCAUGUUGUCAAAGGAGAUACGUGAAAUUCAAAUUGUCGAAGAUACAACCCUUACAAUUACCUCUACAACCACCUCAAAGCCUUCAUUACAAUCACCCUUACAGUCAAUAGUAGUAGUCGUAGUAGUGUUUUCGGUGCCCUGGGUAUGGUCAGGCUCUCCAAGAAGUCCCCAUAACAUGCACACACAAGUAAAAAAAACACAGUUGUAUCAGCGUCAAUUUGAAUUCCAUGCGGGUCGUACUGUCACAACAUGGUGCCUGUGGUGAGGGUGGGCAAGCUCAUCUAUUCUAUGCCUCUAUAUAUCCCUGACUGGACCACUAGCGUACCAACCGGCAAACCCACCCCUAAAUUAUCACCUUUAUUUUGUCCCCUGGUGUAAAUAGGGAAGUUUUUGUCUCUGCAGAAAGCAUAACAUCAAUAAUAUUCACUCAUACUUAUAUCUAUAGGAUUAAAAACUCUUUGAAGUUCAGCAUGAGACAGACAAGCAGACAGACAGACAGACAGACAGACAGACAUUGCUGCUGCUGCUGCUGCUGCCUCUCCAUUCACUCAUUCUCUCUCUGUCUCUCUCAGUUCAACACUUGUUCAGAAACGAGAACAAAUAAAGAACGACAACAACCUGAAUUAGUGGAAAUUUAGGCAAUAAUAAAAAAAGCAAAGUGAU